GGCCCAGUGGCGAACGGUUUACGCGUCUGCACUCAAUAAAUAGGUACCAUGCGCUAUAUGCAGAUAGACGCUCGCUCGACUCGAGCCUGGGCCG